AUUGCGGGGCUUCCAGAAAGCCGGUUCAGAAGGCGGCUAGGAGCUUUCAGCGGCUUGCAACUUGUAGCGGGAAAAACGAGUUGUCGGUCCCUAGUGAAGAAAACAAAAACAAAAACCGCCCCCUCGCCUGCUUGGGCGGGUCCGAAGAAAGGAGAACACGUGUGCCCGAGUCUGUAACCAAAUGACAUUUGGUUUCAACAAGUGCAAUGAGAGACCCACAUCCUCUCUUCUAGACUGGGCAAGAACACGGCGAAAAAGGAUUCUGGCAGAGGAGAGUUCAAGGGGGCAGCUUGGGCAGCCGAUAUACUUGGUGGUAGCGUCGGAAAACUGCGUGGGCCUGGAAAGCAAAACGCAGCCCAUGUGCUAUGGUCAAUCCAAGGAGGACUGCACAUUUCUUGAACACCUACUAUGUGCCGGGUACUGGACUAAGUGCUAGACUUCCGGUGCCUGUCCUCAGCGAGCUUCUACUCCGCCUGCGAAUAACGGAAGCGGCGUGAAUGAAGUUCGUUUUCAGGAUAAUGAUGGCUGAUGGGUGCAGAAAAAUUCAGAACGCAAAGAUUUUUGAGUCGGGCCUAGAAGAACGGAGAAUUUUUCUUUUCUUUCUCUUUCUUUUUUUUCUUUUUUUCUUUUUUUUGAGAAUUUUUUCAUUAAGUGAAAACCAAAUAAAAACAACCCAGGCCCAGAGAGGGCGGGAAGCUAGAAUAAAACACUCAGCUGGAAAGCUUGUCCAAGAAAGAGGGGCAGGCCACUUCACCAAACUCUUUGAUAUGCACACCUUGAUUUAAAUGUAAUUCCUCGCAAAGAAGUAAAGAAUGAAGCAGGUGUCCAGAGGACUGUGGUCUGUGAUCCCUCCUGUAAGGGAAUUCUAAUCCCCGACGAGAGACAGAGGUGAGGAGGGUCAAGGCUGGCCAGGAACUGAUAGAUGUUCAGCAGGAGAUGCUGGAGCCAAAGGGAGCAGCACCCGGACAGAGCAAAUGUCAGGACCUGCCAGCUGGGGAUCCCGGUAGAGUCUCCGGAUGUAGAGCAGCAGCAGCGGCAGCAGCAGCAAAGGAGUCGCGCGGCACGCGAGCCUUUGGGCUCUGAGCGAACGCACGUUACAGCAUAGCAAUCUGUCUUUCGGGCAAUUUUCUCCUUCCCUUUCCACCUUCUCACUCCAGUUUGUUCUCUGCUGACUGAUGCUGGCACUGCCAAGAGGGUCCCCAGAGAAAAGCCUUGGCCAGGAGGCUGAGAGGGAGGAGGAGCCUCCGGACAAUGUGGGGGAGAUGCAAAGAUGAGG